GCGACCUCAGGUCAGGCGG
rnacentral:rRNA from 116 species